rnacentral:rRNA from 1 species
UUUCCGUAGGUGAACCUGCGGAAGGAUCAUUAAAAAAUAAGCUGCUCGUCUCUCGACGUCCAACUUUUUUGCACACACCUCCGUGUACCUCUUCCCCUUUUGCUUCCCCGAGGGCCCUCGCCGGCCCGCGGGGGAGGUCAGGAGGCCCGUCGGCUUUUGGCGGCCGGGUCGACCUUCUUCCACAUUCUGUCUGGAUGUCUGUCUGAACGUGAUUUAAUAAAUCUUAAAACUUUCAACAACGGAUCUCUUGGUUCUCGCAUCGAUGAAGAACGCAGCGAAAUGCGAUAAGUAGUGUGAAUUGCAGAAUUCCGUGAAUCAUCGAAUCUUUGAACGCACAUUGCGCCUCCUGGCAUUCCGGGAGGCAUGCCCGUUCGAGCGUCAUUAAUACCUCCUCAAGCCGAUUUGCGAAAAUUGCUUGGUUAUGGGAUCGGGGCCCCGCCACGUGCGGAGUCCCCCCCCCAAUGUCAUGGUGCGGAGCCCGUGCCUGGGCGUCGGAAGUAAUAAGCACAUUUCCUCUGACGUAACCCAGCCGAACGACUCCUGCCCGCCGAACCCCCAAUCUUUUCUACAAGGCAUGACCUCGGAUGGGUAGGGAUACCCGCUGAACUUAAGCAUAUCAAUAAGCGG